CCCUUAGAUGUUCUGGGCCGCACGCGCGCUACACUGAUGCAUUCAACGAGCCUAUCCUUGACCGACAGGUCCGGGUAAUCUUUGAAUCUGCAUCGUGACGGGGAUAGAUUAUUGCAAUUAUUAAUCUUCAACGAGGAAUGCCUAGUAGGCGCAAGUCAUCAGCUUGCGUCGAUUACGUCCCUGCCCUUUGUACACACCGCCCGUCGCUCCUACCGAUUGGGUGUGCUGGUGAAAUGUUCGGAUCGGCCGUUUGUCGCGGUUUCCGCGUCAUGUGGCUGAGAAGUUCAUUAAACCCUCCCACCUAGAGGAAGGAGAUGUCGUAACA
rnacentral:rRNA from 1 species